CAUCUGUGUGGGACCCCACUGAAAAUCAGACUGUUCAACUCACCUGGCAGCCACUCCCAGAGCCCCUGAACUCUGGCCCAAGGCUCUCUGACUGACUGCUUCCCAGAUCUCGGCUUAGCAGUUGAAGACUGACACUGCCCGAUCGCCUCCGAAGCCUACAGGACCAUCACAGACGCUCUGGAUCUCAAACAUGCUUUCUUUACUAUUCCUUUGCACCCUCAUCCCAGCCUCUCUUCACUUUCACUUCGACUGACCCUGACACCCAUCAGGCUCAGCAAAUUACCUGGGCUGUACUGCCGCAAGGCUUCACAGGCAGCCCCCAUUACUUCAGUCAAGCCCAAAUUUCAUCCUCAUCU
rnacentral:lncRNA from 1 species